UACAGAGGGUGCAAGCGUUGUUCGGAAUUAUUGGGCGUAAAGGGCGCGUAGGCGGUGCGGUAAGUCUCUUGUGAAAUCUCCGGGCUCAACUCGGAGUCUGCAAGGGAAACUGCCGUGCUUGAGUGUGGGAGAGGUGAGUGGAAUUCCCGGUGUAGCAGUGAAAUGCGUAGAUAUCGAGAGGAACACCAGUGGCGAAGGCGAGUCCCUGGACAGGUCCUGACGCUGAGGCACGAAAGCUAGGGGAGCAAACAGG
rnacentral:rRNA from 1 species